UGGGGAAUAUUGGACAAUGGGGGCAACCCUGAUCCAGCAAUGCCGCGUGUGUGAAGAAGGUUUUCGGAUUGUAAAGCACUUUCGGCGGGGACGAUGAUGACGGUACCCGCAGAAGAAGCCCCGGCUAACUUCGUGCCAGCAGCCGCGGUAAUACGAAGGGGGCUAGCGUUGCUCGGAAUGACUGGGCGUAAAGGGCGUGUAGGCGGUUUGUACAGUCAGAUGUGAAAUCCCCGGGCUUAACCUGGGAGCUGCAUUUGAGACGUGCAGACUAGAGUGUGAGAGAGGGUUGUGGAAUUCCCAGUGUAGAGGUGAAAUUCGUAGAUAUUGGGAAGAACACCGGUGGCGAAGGCGGCAACCUGGCUCAUUACUGACGCUGAGGCGCGAAAGCGUGGGGAGCAAACAGGAUUAGAUACCCUGGUAGUCCACGCUGUAAACGAUGUGUGCUGGAUGUUGGGUAACUUAGUUAUUCAGUGUCGUAGCUAACGCGAUAAGCACACCGCCUGGGGAGUACGGCCGCAAGGUUGAAACUCUAAAGUGAAUUGACGGGGUC
rnacentral:rRNA from 1 species